rnacentral:rRNA from 1 species
GGGAGACACACGGCGGGUGCUAACGUCCGUCGUGAAGAGGGAAACAACCCAGACCGCCAGCUAAGGUCCCAAAGUCAUGGUUAAGUGGGAAACGAUGUGGGAAGGCCCAGACAGCCAGGAUGUUGGCUUAGAAGCAGCCAUCAUUUAAAGAAAGCGUAAUAGCUCACUGGUCGAGUCGGCCUGCGCGGAAGAUGUAACGGGGCUAAACCAUGCACCGAAGCUGCGGCAGCGACACUAUGUGUUGUUGGGUAGGGGAGCGUUCUGUAAGCCUGUGAAGGUGUACUGUGAGGUAUGCUGGAGGUAUCAGAAGUGCGAAUGCUGACAUAAGUAACGAUAAAGCGGGUGAAAAGCCCGCUCGCCGGAAGACCAAGGGUUCCUGUCCAACGUUAAUCGGGGCAGGGUGAGUCGACCCCUAAGGCGAGGCCGAAAGGCGUAGUCGAUGGGAAACAGGUUAAUAUUCCUGUACUUGGUGUUACUGCGAAGGGGGGACGGAGAAGGCUAUGUUGGCCGGGCGACGGUUGUCCCGGUUUAAGCGUGUAGGCUGGUUUUCCAGGCAAAUCCGGAAAAUCAAGGCUGAGGCGUGAUGACGAGGCACUACGGUGCUGAAGCAACAAAUGCCCUGCUUCCAGGAAAAGCCUCUAAGCAUCAGGUAACAUCAAAUCGUACCCCAAACCGACACAGGUGGUCAGGUAGAGAAUACCAAGGCGCUUGAGAGAACUCGGGUGAAGGAACUAGGCAAAAUGGUGCCGUAACUUCGGGAGAAGG